rnacentral:lncRNA from 1 species
CAUCCCCAACAAAGCAGCUUCUCUUCAAAAGGAAAAUGUCUGACCUCCGUUUCAGUUGAUCCUAUCCCUUCUCUAUACGGAUAAUAUGGUGAAUCAUGGUUUGUUCGUUGGAACUAAUUCUCACUGUUUAACUUUCUUCAUCUCUCUCACUUCUUCUUCUUCUUCUUCCAAUUGCGGAACUGGGUCCGGGUUGCUGGACUCUUCCAGAGACUGAAUUCGGCCACUGACCAAUUUCCUUCCCUUUUUCCUUUUUUUUCUUCUUUUCGGUUCCGGCAAAGAUCAUUUCUUUACAUUGUUACUUGAUAUUUAAUUCCCCUGGGUGAAGAAGAAGAAAAGAUGAUCACCACAGGGAUAAAUUUGGUGAUGACAUUGAUAGGAUUCGCUGUGAGCACUAUGUUCAUAGUUUUUGUUUGCACUC